ACCACUGCGAUUGUGCAAUGCUGUUUUCUUGCAUUAGUAUUGCACUUCAGCAAUGGUGA
rnacentral:pre_miRNA from 1 species